AUUGAACGCUGGCGGAAUGCUUUACACAUGCAAGUCGAACGGCAGCACGGACUUCGGUCUGGUGGCGAGUGGCGAACGGGUGAGUAAUGUAUCGGAACGUGCCCAGUCGUGGGGGAUAACGUAGUGAAAAUUACGCUAAUACCGCAUACGAUCUAUGGAUGAAAGCGGGGGAUCGCAAGACCUCGCGCGAUUGGAGCGGCCGAUAGCAGAUUAGGUAGUUGGUGGGGUAAAGGCCCACCAAGCCAACGAUCUGUAGCUGGUCAGAGAGGACGACCAGACACACUGGAAAUGAGACACGGUCCAGACUCCUACGGGAGGCAGCAGUGGGGAAUGUUGGACACUGGGCGAAAGCCUGAUCCAGCCAUUCCGCGUGCAGGAUGAAGGCCCUCGGGUUGUAAACUGCUUUUGUACAGAACGAAAAGGUUUCUACUAAUACUAGGAGCUCAUGACGGUACUGUAAGAAUAAGCACCGGCUAACUACGUGCCAGCCGCCGCGGUAA
rnacentral:rRNA from 1 species